rnacentral:lncRNA from 1 species
AACGGAAGUAUUUGUUCGUACCUUUUUGCGGAAGCGAUUUGCGCUAGAACGCAACGAGCUCGGAUUGUAGGGGUUGAUUCACGUGUCUUCGAAUCGUCCACGAAAAUCUUCUAUCGCUCCAAACUCACGGUAGAUCGAACUACAAACGAGCACGAUCUCCAAUCCAUCAUUCAAGACCACCUAGAAUAAUAGGUUAAUUGAGAAUGUGGUUUUACGAUUCUCUCUUAGUUUUCUUGUUGUCUUUCUUAUUAGGCUAAAU